rnacentral:rRNA from 1 species
UACAGAGGUCUCAAGCGUUGUUCGGAUUCAUUGGGCGUAAAGGGUGCGUAGGCGGCGCGGUAAGUCGGGUGUGAAAUCUCGGAGCUUAACUCCGAAACUGCAUUCGAUACUGCCGUGCUUGAGGACUGGAGAGGAGACUGGAAUUUACGGUGUAGCGGUGAAAUGCGUAGAUAUCAGGAGGAACACCGGUGGCGAAGGCGCACAUCUGGCCCGAUACUGACGCUGAGGCGCGAAGGUCAGGGGAGCAAACGGG